ACUGAGGACAGGAGUCAGGCAGGGUCAAUAAAAAGAAACACAAAAAGCCUUUCAUGAAGCCUCUGUAUAAACAUCAACAAGACGAGGACAGUUUCUCAAAUAAGGGUCUAAAUUUAAGUGGCAACUUGUCAGUGGUAUUCAAUGCUCUCACUCAUUUUAACGCGUGUCACAAGGGAGAGGGGAGGAUCCCAGCUGAAAUAUGAAGGACACAGCACCAGAUUAUCACAGGACCAACAGAGAGGAGGGCUGAAAGUAGUUCAGUCACACUGGAGGAAGAGCAUCAAAAACCAUCUGUGUUCAGAUCAGAUCUUGGAACAGACUCAAUCAGAUUUUGAUCUGGAUUUUUACUG